rnacentral:rRNA from 1 species
GGCCGCGGGAAUUCGAUUCAGGCCUAACACAUGCAAGUCGAACGCACUCUCGUUAGAUUGAAGAAGCUUGCUUCUGAUUGAUAACAUUUGAGUGAGUGGCGGACGGGUGAGUAACACGUGGGUAACCUGCCCUAAAGUGGGGGAUAACAUUUGGAAACAGAUGCUAAUACCGCAUAAAACCUAGCACCGCAUGGUGCAAGGUUGAAAGAUGGUUUCGGCUAUCACUUUAGGAUGGACCCGCGGUGCAUUAGUUAGUUGGUGAGGUAAAGGCUCACCAAGACCGUGAUGCAUAGCCGACCUGAGAGGGUAAUCGGCCACACUGGGACUGAGACACGGCCCAGACUCCUACGGGAGGCAGCAGUAGGGAAUCUUCCACAAUGGACGAAAGUCUGAUGGAGCAACGCCGCGUGAGUGAAGAAGGUUUUCGGAUCGUAAAAUAAGGGUGUGGAGAAGAACGUAUUUGAUAGUAACUGAUCAGGUAGUGAC